rnacentral:rRNA from 1 species
AGAGUUUGAUCAUGGCUCAGAUUGAACGCUGGCGGCAGGCCUAACACAUGCAAGUCGAGCGGUAGCACAGAGAGCUUGCUCUCGGGUGACGAGCGGCGGACGGGUGAGUAAUGUCUGGGAAACUGCCUGAUGGAGGGGGAUAACUACUGGAAACGGUAGCUAAUACCGCAUAAUGUCGCAAGACCAAAGUGGGGGACCUUCGGGCCUCAUGCCAUCAGAUGUGCCCAGAUGGGAUUAGCUAGUAGGUGGGGUAACGGCUCACCUAGGCGACGAUCCCUAGCUGGUCUGAGAGGAUGACCAGCCACACUGGAACUGAGACACGGUCCAGACUCCUACGGGAGGCAGCAGUGGGGAAUAUUGCACAAUGGGCGCAAGCCUGAUGCAGCCAUGCCGCGUGUAUGAAGAAGGCCUUCGGGUUGUAAAGUACUUUCAGCGGGGAGGAAGGGAGUAAAGUUAAUACCUUUGCUCAUUGACGUUACCCGCAGAAGAAGCACCGGCUAACUCCGUGCCAGCAGCCGCGGUAAUACGGAGGGUGCAAGCGUUAAUCGGAAUUACUGGGCGUAAAGCGCACGCAGGCGGUCUGUCAAGUCGGAUGUGAAAUCCCCGGGCUCAACCUGGGAACUGCAUUCGAAACUGGCAGGCUAGAGUCUUGUAGAGGGGGGUAGAAUUCCAGGUGUAGCGGUGAAAUGCGUAGAGAUCUGGAGGAAUACCGGUGGCGAAGGCGGCCCCCUGGACGAAGACUGACGCUCAGGUGCGAAAGCGUGGGGAGCAAACAGGAUUAGAUACCCUGGUAGUCCACGCCGUAAACGAUGUCGACUUGGAGGUUGUGCCCUUGAGGCGUGGCUUCCGGAGCUAACGCGUUAAGUCGACCGCCUGGGGAGUACGGCCGCAAGGUUAAAACUCAAAUGAAUUGACGGGGGCCCGCACAAGCGGUGGAGCAUGUGGUUUAAUUCGAUGCAACGCGAAGAACCUUACCUGGUCUUGACAUCCACAGAACUUUCCAGAGAUGGAUUGGUGCCUUCGGGAACUGUGAGACAGGUGCUGCAUGGCUGUCGUCAGCUCGUGUUGUGAAAUGUUGGGUUAAGUCCCGCAACGAGCGCAACCCUUAUCCUUUGUUGCCAGCGGUCCGGCCGGGAACUCAAAGGAGACUGCCAGUGAUAAACUGGAGGAAGGUGGGGAUGACGUCAAGUCAUCAUGGCCCUUACGACCAGGGCUACACACGUGCUACAAUGGCGCAUACAAAGAGAAGCGACCUCGCGAGAGCAAGCGGACCUCAUAAAGUGCGUCGUAGUCCGGAUUGGAGUCUGCAACUCGACUCCAUGAAGUCGGAAUCGCUAGUAAUCGUGGAUCAGAAUGCCACGGUGAAUACGUUCCCGGGCCUUGUACACACCGCCCGUCACACCAUGGGAGUGGGUUGCAAAAGAAGUAGGUAGCUUAACCUUCGGGAGGGCGCUUACCACUUUGUGAUUCAUGACUGGGGUGAAGUCGUAACAAGGUAACCGUAGGGGAACCUGCGGUUG